rnacentral:misc_RNA from 1 species
CCGUCUUUCAAAAACAGGGGAAGAGAGACUUACUUAGCAGGCGAGGAGAGAGAAGAAAAAAGAAAAAAGAAAAAAAAAUAGAACAAGAGAGGGAACAAGUUGAGGCUAGAAUUGGAACUUGGAAGGGCAAAAUGGAAAUUCUCAGAGAAUCUGGGGGUGGGUUUGCACUUCAAUUCAUGUUGGUUGAUUCUUCAUUCUUUGCAACUACAGAAACCUUCUCUCUUCUCUCUCUCUCUGUCUCUAUGGACAACGGCUGGAAUUUUUCAAAGUGUUUACACGAACAAAAAUGAAGAUAACUUUUUCUUGUUUCU